UUCUAGAAGCUGCCCACCUGGAAUGAACCAGUCGACUCCCCUUCUUCCCUCUCUCCCCUUCCCUCCUGCUGUCAUCCAAGAGAUGGCCAAGAAGCACAAGUCAGCAUCAAGACACACAGCUGGAAAUGGGACUGCAGAGGCCCUAACUGAGGGCAGAAACCCAGAUCUACCUCCUUUGGUGACGGGAUGUGUAGAAGACAUGAAAGACUAUUUAAUUUUCAGCUCUUCGGGUCAAGUUUGAAGUAGAAAGAACCUAACAAUCUGAAUGCGGCAUACUCCCACUGCUAGGAUUUCAUCACAGUCGGGGCGUGAAUCUGUGGCUACGUAUGAACAUGAACAUGGUGCUCGCAGAGAGGAAAAGAGUCAAUAAGGUGGUGUUCCUGACCUAAAUUAUUCCAUGUGUCAGGCAUCACGGAACUGAACACAUUACUAAAUGGAAGGUAUAGAAGAAAAGCCAAAUCUUAGGGAAAAAGAAAAUCCACUAUGGAUAGAGUA
rnacentral:lncRNA from 1 species